AAGAUCUUGGCAGCUGUCUGUCCCAGCUCAAGCAAUGGGAGCACCAGCACUCCUCUUAGCUUUGACUCUAUUCCUAGUUGCAGAUGAAGCAAGUCUGGAACCGUGAGACCAUCUUGUUUUGAUUUUGGAGGGGGGCUUUGUGUAUGGGUCUGCACUGAAAGAUAUAGUGCUGAGAUGCUGCACUGUUUAGUAUCACGGAGCUGCAUGGGGGAAAUCUUGUUAUUAGGGAGACUGAGCAGAAGCAACUCCUACUGGAGUCUCAAACACUGCUGCAGGUAAAAACCCUGGCAUUUGCUACUGAAGAAGCUGUUCUAGCAAUGUAGUACUGCACCACACCAAAAACCUAUAGAAGCCACAAAUCUUCCCUUUGUUCAUCCUGCGCUGGCAGAGGUGAAAUUUGAAGUGAAACUGAAGUUUUGGUCACUGAAUUUUCAGUAUAAUUUCUCACACCACCAUUUUGUUUCUGUGUACUUGCUAUUGAGCAGUUCUGUCCUGGCUAACGGAAAGAUGACAAACAUGUAAGAGGCAUGUUGCCGUUUCUGGAUAUGGAAAGAUAUGGAAAGAGAGCUGCAUGACAAUUCUGCAGCCCUUAGACAUUUCUGACCUCUCGUUUCUACCUGUUCAUGAAAGCAGCAGAAAUGGAUUCUGGUCUGUCUCAACUUCUGGAUGUUUCUUAAAAAAAAAAUUCCCCCCCCCCCCACUCCUCUCUUCUAGUCAGUACAUGGUGGUGUUCCCUGCUGUCAUUCACCGUUUCCAAGAGGAGCAGCUCUGUAUUCACCUCAGCUCCGUCACUGAGGAUGUCCACCUGGCUGUCACCUUGGAGUUGGAAACCCAGAGUCAAACAGUGGUGGAAAAGGACGUGGAGAAGCCAGGCACUUUUGAGUGCAUCGGUUUCAAGGUGCCAAAGUUAAAUUCGUCAGAAACAGUUGCUUCAGCUACACAAUCAGAAGAGGUGAUUUUUCUUCAUGUCCUGAUACACAGCAGUGACAAUGUGCUCUUUGAGGGUUACAAGAAGGUUCUGGUCAAGCCCCAGGAAAGCAUAAUUCUGAUAGAGACAGACAAGGCCUUCUACAAACCUGGAGAAACAGUGAAAUUUCGAAUCAUCAACCUUGAUGAUGACCUUAUGAUCAUUAAAAAUGAGUAUCUUCAGAUAUGGUUGCAGGAUCCUGAAAAUAAUCGCAUUGCUGAAUGGCUGAAUGUGAAGUCAAGACAUGGCAUUGUGGAUCUAUCCUUUCCCCUGGCCUCUGAAGCAGCCCUGGGAAAAUAUACCAUUUCAGUGCAACAAGACAUGGCUCAGAAAACAUUCAGUGUUAAUGAAUAUGAGCUGACAAAGACUGAAUUAAAGUUUGAGCACCCUCCCUUCAUCACAGAGGAUGAGUAAUUUCAGCUGAAACUAUGUGGUGUACCUAUGGAAAGCCUGCUCAAGGGAAAAUAGAUAUUACUUUUAUCACAUUGUUGCAGUAUGAAAUGCAGGAUUUCUCAGAUUCUUCUGAGAUGAGGAAGCAACAGAGCUGGACAGACAAAAAUGGUUGUGCUGAAUUUACAGUAAAGACAAAGGCUCUGGAAUUAAAUGAAUCUGACAACUACAUAAUUGUGAUAGGAGAAAUGGAGGAAAUUGGAACAGGAGCACAGACUAAAGAUUUUUCUGGAAUUUCUAUUGUGACAAGAAUGAAAUCUAUAGAGUUUAUCAAUCUCCAACCAUUCUACAAACAUGGACUACCAUACACAGGGCAGAUGUUCUGCCACAGUAAUAACUCUGCCCUCUGAAAUGAAAUGGUCUACCUAACAAUUGAUGUAAAUGAUGAGAAGACACACCUGUCAUUCCUCACAGAUGAGGAAGGGAAAGUCCACUUCUCAUUGAAUACCACCAGCUGAAACAGCUCACUUGUUUCAUUGAAGGGCACCUACUACCUUGAAAAUUACACCAUGGACAAUUUUGAGCAGAACUCAGGGACUGGGGAGAGCUUCCACUGGCUGAAACCUUUCUACUCUGAGAGCAACAGCUUCCUUGAGAUCAAGGCCAGGAAUGAUGUGAUGCCCUCUGAUCAAGAGCAGAAUGUGCAAGUGGACUAUAUCCUUAAUCAGAAUAAACUCAGCUCUGGAACAGACCACAUUGAUUUCUACUAUCUAGCAAGCAAAGAAGACAUCUGAAUCUCAGGGCAAGACCAUACUGCUAUUUUGUCCUUUUCACAAUAACAUGUAGAUACUAUUAGGAAAUGUUAAACUUAUCUGAGGCCAGUAAAACUGCUUUGUUUUGCCCAGUGCUCUUCAACAUCUUUAUCAAUGACUUAGACAAUGAAAUUGAGUGCACCCUCAGCAAGUAUGCAGAUGACACCAAGCUAAGCAAUGCAGUCAGUAUGUUGGAGGGAAGGGAAGCCAUCCAUUUUUAAGGUAAAAAAAAAUUGUAUCUUAGUAACAUGAAGAUCAGAUUCCACUGGUGCUUAAUAGCAGCUGCUGGUGCUAGACUCUGGCUACAUAAGUAGCCACUUCUCAUGGCCUAACAAACACCUCUGAAUUUCCUUGCCAGAGAUGCUAUCAACAUCUUUGCUGAUGAGAUUUUUAGGGCACGUCCUACCAGAAGAGCUUCUGUGACAGUAACCGUCAAACAUUUCCUUCUCUCCCCUUUCAUUCUGUUUACAUUCUCAUGCUUGCAGAA